AUUGAACGCUGGCGGCGUGCCUAACACAUGCAAGUCGAGCGGUAACAGGUGUAGCAAUACAUGCUGACGAGCGGCGGACGGGUGGGUAACGCUUGGGAAUCUGCCUGAUAGUGGGGGACAACCCGGGGAAACUCGGGCUAAUACCGCAUACGCACUACGGUGGGAAGCCGGGGACCGCAAGGCCUGGCGCCACCAGAUGAGCCCAAGUCGGAUUAGCUAGUUGGUAGGGUAACGGCCUACCAAGGCGACGAUCCGUAACUGGUCUGAGAGGACGACCAGUCACACCGGAACUGAGACACGGUCCGGACUCCUACGGGAGGCAGCAGUGGGGAAUAUUAGACAAUGGGCGAAAGCCUGAUCCAGCGACGCCGCGUGGGUGAAGAAGGCCUGCGGGUUGUAAAGCCCUUUCGGUGGGGAAGAAAAGCCUCGAGCUAAUACCUCGGGGUCUAGACGUAACCCAUAGAAGAAGCACCGGCUAACUCUGUGCCAGCCGCCGCAGUAA
rnacentral:rRNA from 1 species